rnacentral:tRNA from 1 species
GGGCGGGCUGCAAGGACGGUGGUCUUGCACCGGACUGUAAAUCCGGUCCCUUUGUGGUAACAUUGUAGGUUCGAAUCCUACCCCGCCCACCA